rnacentral:rRNA from 1 species
AUUGAACGCUGGCGGAAUGCUUUACACAUGCAAGUCGAACGGCAGCACGGGGCAACCCUGGUGGCGAGUGGCGAACGGGUGAGUAAUACAUCGGAACGUGCCCAGUCGUGGGGGAUAACGUAGCGAAAGCUACGCUAAUACCGCAUACGAUCUACGGAUGAAAGCGGGGGAUCGCAAGACCUCGCGCGACUGGAGCGGCCGAUGGCAGAUUAGGUAGUUGGUGGGGUAAAGGCUUACCAAGCCUUCGAUCUGUAGCUGGUCUGAGAGGACGACCAGCCACACUGGGACUGAGACACGGCCCAGACUCCUACGGGAGGCAGCAGUGGGGAAUUUUGGACAAUGGGCGAAAGCCUGAUCCAGCCAUUCCGCGUGCAGGAUGAAGGCCCUCGGGUUGUAAACUGCUUUUGUACGGAACGAAACGGCCUUUUCUAAUACAGAGGGCUAAUGACGGUACCGUAAGAAUAAGCACCGGCUAACUACGUGCCAGCAG